rnacentral:rRNA from 1 species
CUACGGGGCGCACCAGUGGGGAAUAUUGCACAAUGGGCGCAAGCCUGAUGCAGCCAUGCCGCGUGUAUGAAGAAGGCCUUCGGGUUGUAAAGUACUUUCAGCGGGGAGGAAGGGAGUAAAGUUAAUACCUUUGCUCAUUGACGUUACCCGCAGAAGAAGCACCGGCUAACUCCGUGCUAGCAGCCGCGGUAAUACGGAGGGUGCAAGCGUUAAUCGGAAUUACUGGGCGUAAAGCGCACGCAGGCGGUUUGUUAAGUCAGAGGUGAAAUCCCCGGGCUCAACCUGGGAACUGCAUCUGAUACUGGCAAGCUUGAGUCUCGUAGAGGGGGGUAGAAUUCCAGGUGUAGCGGUGAAAUGCGUAGAGAUCUGGAGGAAUACCGGUGGCGAAGGCGGCCCCCUGGACGAAGACUGACGCUCAGGUGCGAAAGCGUGGGGAGCAAACAGGAUUAGAUACCCGCGUAGUC